rnacentral:rRNA from 1 species
AUUGGACGCUGGCGGCAUGCUUUACACAUGCAAGUCGAACGGUAACAGGCCGCAAGGUGCUGACGAGUGGCGAACGGGUGAGUAAUGCAUCGGAACGUGCCCAGUCGUGGGGGAUAACGCAGCGAAAGCUGCGCUAAUACCGCAUACGAUCUAUGGAUGAAAGCGGGGGACCGUAAGGCCUCGCGCGAUGGGAGCGGCCGAUGUCAGAUUAGGGAGUUGGUGGGGUAAAGGCUCACCAAGCCAACGAUCUGUAGCUGGUCUGAGAGGACGACCAGCCACACUGGGACUGAGACACGGCCCAGACUCCUACGGGAGGCAGCAGUGGGGAAUUUUGGACAAUGGGCGCAAGCCUGAUCCAGCAAUGCCGCGUGCAGGAAGAAGGCCUUCGGGUUGUAAACUGCUUUUGUACGGAACGAAACGGCUCUGGUUAAUACCUGGGGCUAAUGACGGUACCGUAAGAAUGAGCACCGGCUAACUACGUGCCAGCCGCCGCCGUAAAAC